rnacentral:rRNA from 1 species
GUCGAGAAUCUUUCACAAUGGGGGCAACCCUGAUGGAGCGACGCCGCGUGGAGGAUAAGGUCUUCGGAUUGUAAACUCCUGUCAUGCGUGAACAAGGUUGCUUGGUUAAUACCUGGGCAAAUUGAUGGUAACGCAAGAGGAAGAGACGGCUAACUCUGUGCCAGCAGCCGCGGUAAUACAGAGGUCUCAAGCGUUGUUCGGAAUCACUGGGCGUAAAGGGUGCGUAGGUGGCGUGGUAAGUCAGAUGUGAAAGCCCGGGGCUCAACCUCGGAACUGCAUCCGAUACUGCCAUGCUAGAGUACUGGAGAGGUGACUAGAAUUCUCGGUGUAGCAGUGAAAUGCGUAGAUAUCGAGAGGAAUACCAAAGGCGUAGGCAGGUCACUGGACAGUUACUGACACUGAGGCACGAAGGCCAGGGGAGCGAACGGGAUUAGAUACCCGUGUAGUCC